GCUCGUCGUCGUGCCGAAGCAGCGGCAGAAGCGCCUGCCACACCCGCGGCGACGCGGCGGCGGCGAGCGCCAGGUCCCGCGUCGCGGCGGCCGUGGCGAUCGUCUCCAGGAGGCGGCACAGGCCCGCCUUGGCCGCGGCGGGGCCGCGCGCGAGGAGCCCGACGAAGGACGUGAGGCUGGCCUCCGUCUUGAGCAUGUUGAGGCAGCCGUGCUGCGGCGAGGCCGGGCUCGACGGCAGGAGGGUGAGCGCGCACUGCAGCGCAAGCCCCUCCUGCUCGGACAGGUCCCGCGUCGUGGGCGCGUGGAAGACGAGCUGCAGCAGCACGGGGAGGAAGCCCAGCUGGAGCAUGCACGCGCGGCCGACGUCCGACUCGGAGGCCAGCGCGACGCCCUUCUUGAGCGCGGCCACCUUGGCGCCGCUGCCGGCGCCGGACUGGAGGCAGCGCUUGAGCGCCGCGAGCGACGGCUCCUCCGCGUUGUCGUCGCUGGUGGCGGCGGCGGCGGCGGGCGUCGUCGCGUCGGAGAUCUGGUGGUCGGCGGACAGCCAGCGCUCGAUGAGGUGGCGCAGGGUGCGGUUGGGCACGAGCGCGGCGUCGCCGAGCGGCUGCAUUGUGACCGGGCACGUGCGGUGGCCGGCGGCGAGCCAGCGCUCGAUGCAGGGGCGGUCGUACGUCUGCCCCGUGCACAGCGUCACCGGGUCCGUGAAGAUGUCCAGGCUGAUGGGGCACCGGAACAGGUGCGGGAUGCUCAUCUUGCGCGCGCGCACCACCAGUCGUCCACCACCACGGACCGGAUCAACGAGAUGCAAUAAUAAAGAAACGCCCAGCAGGUAUCAUGCUUCUCGCUGCCGCGAUCUAAGAUGGCAAGAUCCAGAUCAAGAGCCAGCACCGACACCAGCUGCUGCCUGCUGAGCAACUCACAAACAGGGCGGCGAGAAUGCAGCGCGCGGUACCAGAAAAUCUCUCUCGAUAUUGCCUCGAGCACUCACUCCCAUUCCCAUGCAUGAUGCAUCAUCCCCAUCAAGGACCGAUGAUCCAUGGCGACGCGACGGCGACGUAACAGGUGACGGAGGUGACUGCAGCAGAGUUACUGCGCGCGCUGUGGUCAGCCGCUGUGGCUGUAACGAGUACUAGUAGUUGAAGUUGCUGCAGGUGAGGUGAUGGCCAUAAAGCCGGCCGAAACAGCAGGAGCUGCCGCGAUGUACUAGUAGUUGAAGUUGCUGCACACGAGAUGGACUAGGCACGCAGGCAGGCUACUGUGCUGGCUGGAUGUGUAUGGGCUCUCCUCGAUCGAAGAAGAGAGAGAGAGAGAGAGAAUGGAGUGGCGAGAUGGAAUGGAACGAGGCGAGGGAGGGGCAAGUGAGAAGAGGGGCCAGAGGGGGCGUGUGCUUUGCUUCACGCUCCAUGCGUCGAGCCGCAUCGUGGUUGCAGGAAGAAGAUAAAGGCAAAGGUGGAGCGAGCCCGAGCGGGCGGUCCUGGAAAGGGAAAGGUCUAGUGAU
rnacentral:misc_RNA from 1 species